CUUCGGGGAUGAUUAAACCGGCGCACGGGUGAGUAACACGUGAGUGAUCUGCCUUUUAGACUGGAACAACUUACCGAAAGGUGAGCUAAUGCCGGAUGAGUUAUAUAAGUGCAUGUUUAUAUAGGAAAAGUUGGGGAGACCUGACGCUGAAAGAUGGACUCGCGUCCCAUUAGCUAGUUGGUAGGGUAAUGGCCUACCAAGGCGACGAUGGGUAGCCGGCCUGAGAGGGUGGCCGGCCACACUGGGACUGAGACACGGCCCAGACUCCUACGGGAGGCAGCAGUGGGGAAUUUUGCGCAAUGCUCGUAAGAGUGACGCAGCGACGCCGCGUGAAUGACGAAGGCCUUCGGGUCGUAAAGUUCUUUCGACAGGGAAGAAAAUGCCUAUAAGUAACUGUGUAUGUAUUGACGGUACCUGUAUAAGCAGCCCCGGCUAACUCCGUGCCAGCAGCCGCGGUAAUACGGAGGGGGCGAGCGUUGUUCGGAGUGACUGGGCGUAAAGAGCACGUAGGCGGUGUUGUAAGUCAUUAGUCAAAGACUAGAGCUCAACUUUAGUAAGGCUAGUGAUACUAUAAUACUAGAGUAUCAGAGAGGAUUGCAGAAUUCCUGGUGUAGCGGUGAAAUGCGUAGAUAUCAGGAGGAAUACCGUUAGCGAAGGCGGCAAUCUGGCUGGAAACUGACGCUGAGGUGCGAAAGCGUGGGUAGCAAACAGGAUUAGAUACCCUGGUAGUCCACGCUGUAAACGAUGGAUGCUAGGUGUUGGGCUUUUAAGUUCAGU
rnacentral:rRNA from 1 species